rnacentral:antisense_RNA from 1 species
GAUCGACAUCAUGGCUUCAUUUUUAGAGCCCUGGCCCACAGCCAGAUACGAGGUCAUACCCAGCUCUUUCAUUUCCUGCUCGCCAAUGAUUUUGGUGCUGACGGUAUCAAAGUCGUCAGCCAGACGGCGAGCCUGAGAGGCGAGGUAUGCCGGGUUCGCCACGUUCGGCGGCAUAUUACCCAGAUCUUUCGC